GUGAAUAAAAGAUAAAUGUAACAACAUAGGAAAAAAUUAUUACUUAAAGUAUGUAGUUUUUAAUUAAUUUAUUUCUUUGGCUUUCUAUGACACCAGGGAGUCGCCAGAAUAUUUCGACCUGUAAAGGGGUCGCGAAAUCAGAAAGAUUGAAAAACAAUGAUUUAGAUCAUGAUAUCAAGUAGGUAGGUACCUAUGUUGAAUCUUACUAGAUCAUGGAUAGGAUGAUCUAUUUUAGAUUAUAUGAUUUACGUAAAAAGAGAACAAUAAUUAAAGGGACUUUCGCUAGAAAUAGUUCAUAAACUAAAUAUAAAAUGCGUUGUGCAGUAGCUGGUUGUUUGAGUGAUAAUCAGAAGAAAAAUGGCGAUAAAUCUGUUAGAUUUCAUGGUUUUCCCAAGGAUUUGGCAUUGGAAAAACUGUAGGUUAUUACUUGUUGCCGAGAAGACAAAUUUAAUACAAAAAUCUCAAUGACUUGUUCCAAACAUUUUAAGCGGGAAGACUUUGAAAGAAAUUUAACAACAAUUUAAGCAACAUAAUUACUGCAAUAUGAAUCAAAGAAAGGACCCAAACUGAAGAGUGAUGCUGUUCCUUCUCUUCAUCUGCCACAAUCAAAAAGUCUUUAUAUCAAUCAACUUAAAAGGCAGGAAAGACUUUCCAAAAGGGAGUCGAAGUUAGAUUUGCCUGAAAGUACGGAUACUUCCACUUACACGUGGAUUGACCAAGUCUCCGAAGGGGGCCUAAAGAAACCUCCAGAAGAAUUGGUGGUAAAAAUGCAUCAACUGGAUACUAUAUUUAAUAAUUUCAAUGGGUCUGGACUUCAGUUAAAGUCAGGGAAAAAUUAUUUGCAAAGACUGAUUGAUUUGUCUGAAAAUAUUGAAUGUGAUUACAAAACCAAACACCUGUUCUUUCGGUCGCACAUGUAUUUUAGGAUUAAGAAAUUAAACUUAGCACUUAAAGAAAAUAUGAGAAAUAAGAGAAAAGUAAAGAAAAUUGUAAAAA